rnacentral:rRNA from 1 species
UACGGGGGGGGCAAGCGUUGUUCGGAAUUACUGGGCGUAAAGGGCUCGUAGGCGGCCAACUAAGUCAUACGUGAAAUCCCUCGGCUUAACCGGGGAACUGCGUCUGAUACUGGAUGGCUUGAGUUCGGGAGAGGGAUGCGGAAUUCCAGGUGUAGCGGUGAAAUGCGUAGAUAUCUGGAGGAACACCGGGGGCGAAGGCGCCUGCCUGGACGACUAUUGACGCUGAGGCGCGAAAGCGUGGGGAGCAAACAGG